CGGCACUGUGCGCGCUGGUGCGGGACUGUCCGAGUUCUGGGGAGCAGAGGCCCCGGUUCUUAGCGCUGCACUGGGCCGCGCUGCCCCGGGAUUUCUUUCCCAGCGCAUCGCCAGAGACCAUGUGUGUCCUGCCUUCGCCCGCGGGGGGAAGGGCUGUUCCUCCGGCCACGCCUUCAGAUGCAAGGGAUCCCGAUUCCUUUACUCCGCCAUUGGUCCGAGUGGCGGCGUGGUGAGGAGCCUAAUCCAAGAGAGGACCCGUGCCCAAUGUCGGCUCUUGCGCAACCCAGGCUGGUAAGAAAAUGCCCAUUUCCGACUUGAAUUACACAAAGGACCCAAGGGGAGCGCUCACUAGUCACUGCGGGCAGAACUGGCAACUCCAGAGCGGUAUUGAAGAGCCUGCUUGAAAACACAAGUGCCUCCACUUGAGAGAUUUGUUUUCCGGUCCAGGAAAUUAUCCCUGGUUUUCCCAGGCCGCCACACUAAGCCUCUGGAGAGUAAAUGUAUCCGGUAAAGACGAGCUUCUACAUGAAUGCCAGGUUCCCGAUCCACCCCUAGGGGUUGAUUUGUCUGUCCUUAAAGAAGGGAACAGAUGCAAACGGAAUGACAACAUUUCCUGUCACACCCCCGCCGUGUCCCCGACCCUGCAGGAGACAAUGGCUGCAGCCCCACGUGUCUGCAGUGAACACCCACAACUCUCCCUGGGAAAUUCACUCCCCACUUAGCAGAAGAAGAUGCUCCUCUGGCUGCACGUUGCUUUCCUGGCAGCACUUCCCCAAGGGGCCAAUUCGCAGGUUCAGCUGGUGGAGUCUGGGGGAGGCGUGAAAAUGGCAGGAGAGUCUAUCAGCAUCGCCUGUAAAGCCUCCGGGUUCACUUUUGGUGACUACUGGAUGCACUGGUACCGACAGUCUCCCGGGAAGGGACCCGAGUGGGUGUCCGGCAUUAGCUAUUGGGCUGGAACCGACAAGAGAUACGCUGAGUCGGUGAAAGGGCGAUUCACCAUCUCCAGAGACAACCCCAACAACCUGCUCUAUUUGCAAAUGUCUGGCCUUAGACCCGAGGACACGGCGGUGUAUCACUGUGUGAGAGGCACAGUGACUGGCAGGGACUCUAACCACGCACAAAAACAUCCCCUUUGCAGUCACAGCCUGCCGCGGGGCACAGCCCAGGGGAAGAGUCAGACACACAGAGAACUGAACCAAGGAGAAAAUGGCCCCAGCGUCGCGAUCAGCGCCUGAAGGACACGGCUUUUGUGGGGCU